UGUAGGUGAUGCUAAAGUUUUCAGAUCUACAGCACCAGGUGACAUACAGCCAACACUUAGUGUCUAGCUUAUUGUCAAAAGAAAUGUGUCUGUGCCUCCUUUGUUAAACCAGUGUCUUUUUGUGGCCUAAUCAAUCAACAGUAUUCCUCCAGCACUCCAAGAAAGGACACCGCAGACUCCGAUCUAGCAAUGUGAAGUGAGAGGCCAUAAUAUACAGAGAGGUCUUCACCUCAACUGCGUCUGCUGACAUCCAGGCUGCAAGUUGAUUUUGUUUUAUAUACAGAUCUUCAAGCACUGGACAAAAUGUCUACAUGAAACAUUUCUCCAUUGCAUCAGCCCAGGUGUUUUAACAGCUGGAGUACGUGUGUGUUUUGUGCAACUCUGCUGCUCUCACAACUCGUGUACCCAUGGAAAGGGAUUGUCCUUGGCGUUCCUGUUUGAACUAUAAACCUGGCUAUUUAAUAAAAUGCUAAUUAAGUGUUUCUGAUAUCUGUUCUAUUAAUAAAGCUUUGACUUAUCUUA